AGUUAAAAAAUAAUUCAUUUCUAAUGUUAAAAACUAGAGUGGUUGAUGGAAUAACCAGACAAUUAUAUGUAGCAUGUUAUAUGUACCUCAUGCUAAUUUUUAACAUUAGGAAUUGAUAGAAUUUUUAAUA
rnacentral:pre_miRNA from 1 species